GUGAAUCAUCGAAUUUUUGAACGCAAAUUGCACUCCCUGGUAUUCCGGGGAGUAUGCCUGUUUGAGGGUCGUUAAAAUAAAAAAUCGGGUUGUCGCUGUUUUUUUUAAGGAUGAUCGCAUCGGAAUUUAGCCGUCUGUCGAAUGUUAAUUCUAGUCAAAGUGGCUUGAAAUGCUUCCGUCCGGUACGAUUAAUCGUAUUUAAGAUCAAUUUUGU
rnacentral:misc_RNA from 1 species